AAAGCUAUUAAUUUUCAAUUGGAAUUUUA
rnacentral:tRNA from 1 species